CCGCUAUCGCUGCGGAGUAGUUUUCACUUUUUUGCGCGUGUGAUCCCAAAUCCAAAAUCAAAACUUUAAAACCAACAAAAACUCUGAAAUCUUCAGUGUAUAUUCUCGCACCUUUCGCUCUACACUACACCACAACAACAACCAACAAAUAGCCAUAAUUACAAGAUCCGCCACAACAACAACAACAACAGCAAAACAAUCUCCAAUAACAGAUAAACGAACAAAAAAAAAAAAAGUAUACAAAAAUUCGCAAUACAAAAAUCAACUAAAUAAAAUAAAACCUGCAACAAAAACUCUAAAUCUCUGAACAGAAAAAAACCAUCACUUCAUCUCCUACUUGAACGACUCUCUGACUCGACACUCGAUUGAAACAGAAAAAGAAAACUGGUAAACAGCCAAAUGAAUUAAACCAGCAAAUACAAACGAAAAGUAAAAGGCCCAAAAGCGAAAAGAAUCCCUUGGUAUUUUUCUAAAAACCUUAAGUCCCCUUCCCGACCCCACGACCCAUCGCUACCCCACCAUCAAAAGCAUUACAGAACAGAACCGAAAAACGAAAGAAAAAAUAUAAAACAAAUAAAGGCACAAAAAACAAGAAACAAAACGCAAGCAAAAAGUGGUAAAUUGUUGCUAGUAUCAGAAGAAUUUCCCUUAAAAACAAGGCGCAGUAUUUAAAAAGAAAAUAUAUAAAAAUUGAAGAUUUGCAAA